rnacentral:rRNA from 1 species
UGGGGAAUAUUGCGGCAAUGGGCGAAAGCCUGACGCAGCGACGCCGCGUGAGGGAUGAAGGUCUUCGGAUCGUAAACCUCUGUCAGAAGGGAAGAAACUAGGGUGCUCUAAUCAUCAUCCUACUGACGGUACCUUCAAAGGAAGCACCGGCUAACUCCGUGCCAGCAGCCGCGGUAAUACGGAGGGUGCAAGCGUUAAUCGGAAUCACUGGGCGUAAAGCGCACGUAGGCUGUUAUGUAAGUCAGGGGUGAAAUCCCACGGCUCAACCGUGGAACUGCCCUUGAUACUGCACGACUUGAAUCCGGGAGAGGGUGGCGGAAUUCCAGGUGUAGGAGUGAAAUCCGU